rnacentral:rRNA from 1 species
AUUGAACGCUGGCGGCAGGCCUAACACAUGCAAGUCGAGCGAGCAGCGGACGGGUGAGUAAUGUAUGGGGACUGCCCGAUAGAGGGGGAUAACUACUGGAAACGGUAGCUAAUACCGCAUACUAUCGGAUAACCCAUAUGUGAUUAGCUAGUAGGGGAGGUAAUGGCUCACCUAGGCGACGAUCCCUAGCUGGUCUGAGAGGAUGAUCCGCCACACUGGGACGGAGACACGGCCCAGAAUCCGACGGAGGCAGCAGUGGGGAAUAUUGCACAGUGGGCGCAAGCCUGAUGCAGACAUGCCGCGUGUAUGAAGAAGGCCCUAGGGUUGUAAAGUACUUUCAGUCGGGAGGCGUUACCGACAGAAGAAGCACCGGCUAACUCCGUGCCAGCCGCAGCGGUAAUUC